AUUGAACGCUGGCGGCAGGCCUAACACAUGCAAGUCGAGCGGAUGACGGGAGCUUGCUCCUUGAUUCAGCGGCGGACGGGUGAGUAAUGCCUAGGAAUCUGCCUGGUAGUGGGGGACAACGUUUCGAAAGGAACGCUAAUACCGCAUACGUCCUAAGGGCGAAAGCAGGGGACCUUCGGGCCUUGCGCUAUCAGAUGAGCCUAGGGCGAAUUAGCUAGUUGGUGGGGUAAUGGCUCACCAAGGCGACGAUCCGUAACUGGUCUGAGAGGAUGAUCAGUCACACUGGAACUGAGACACGGUCCAGACUCCUACGGGAGGCAGCAGUGGGGAAUAUUGGACAAUGGGCGAAAGCCUGAUCCAGCCAUGCCGCGUGUGUGAAGAAGGUCUUCGGAUUGUAAAGCACUUUAAGUUGGGAGGAAGGGCAGUAAGUUAAUACCUUGCUGUUUUGACGUUACCGACAGAAUAAGCACCGGCUAACUCUGUGCCAGCCGCCGCGGUAACAC
rnacentral:rRNA from 1 species